rnacentral:rRNA from 1 species
UACGGGGGGGGCAAGCGUUGUUCGGAAUUACUGGGCGUAAAGGGCGCGUAGGCGGCUUUUCAAGUCGGGCGUGAAAUCUCCGGGCUUAACCCGGAAGGGUCGUUCGAUACUGUUGAGCUAGAGUGUGGAAGAGGCAACUAGAAUUCCGUGUGUAGCGGUGAAAUGCGUAGAUAUACGGAGGAAUACCUGAGGCGAAGGCGGGUUGCUGGGCCAACACUGACGCUGACGGGCGCGAAAAGCCAGGGGAGCAAACGGG